UGGGCUUCCAGCCUCCAGAACGGUUUCCCAUCCAUAGGGAUGGGCUCUGGCCCUCUCGACCUUGCAGGAUCAAUGUUGAAGGUCCGCUGGGGUCGUGAACACAAAAGCCUGUAAGACACAGAACACCAAAACCUGGGAGACGUGAAGAGUGUGUUGUCCAUGGUGCCAUGUCACAGGGUGGGGCUGAAGAAGAUCUGGAAUCAAGCACCGUUAGAGUGUCUGCUUCUGGUUUGAAAUGAGCCCCCAACACCACUGUUGGCUCAAAGUAGAGGGGGGCACCCACUGAUACAAUCUUUCAGAGACUGAUUGGUAUGAAAACCCUGAAAAUGGGCCGGGCACAGUGGCUCAUGCCUGUAAUUCCAGCACUUUGGGAGGCCGAGGCAGGCAGAUCACCUGAGGUUAGGAGUUUAAGACCAGCCUCAACAUGGAGAAACACUGUCUCUACCAAAAAUACAAAAUUAGCCACGCAUGGUGGUGCCUGCCUGUAAUCCCAGCUACUCAGGGGGCUGAGGCAGGAGAAUUGCUUGAACCUGGGAGGCAGAGGUUGUGGUGAGCCAAGAUCGUGCCAUUGCACUCCAGCCUGGGCAACAAGAGCGAAAGUCCGUCUCAAAAAAAAAAAGAAAAGAAAAGAAAAGAAAGAAAGAAAACCCUGAAAAAGUCAUCACCUUGGACUUAACAACUCUACCUAUAGAAGACCAGCAGACAAGUGAACUAACAUAAUGGAAAAAGAUGUUCAUCCCAGUAUUGUUUAUGGUAGCAAAAAAAAAAAAAAAGAAAAAAGAGAAAUGUCCAGCAGGGAAUUGGUUAAGGAAGAAUUAUGU
rnacentral:lncRNA from 1 species